rnacentral:rRNA from 3 species
UUAAGCGACUAAGCGUACACGGUGGAUGCCCUGGCAGUCAGAGGCGAUGAAGGACGUGCUAAUCUGCGAAAAGCGUCGGUAAGGUGAUAUGAACCGUUACAGCCGGCGAUGUCCGAAUGGGGAAACCCAGUGCAAUUCGUUGCACUAUCGUUAACUGAAUACAUAGGUUAACGAGGCGAACCGGGGGAACUGAAACAUCUAAGUACCCCGAGGAAAAGAAAUCAACCGAGAUUCCCCCAGUAGCGGCGAGCGAACGGGGAGCAGCCCAGAGUCUGAAUCAGCUUGUGUGUUAGUGGAACGGUCUGGAAAGUCCGACGGUACAGGGUGAUAGUCCCGUACACCAAAAUGCACAGGCUGUGAACUCGAAGAGUAGGGCGGGACACGUGGUAUCCUGUCUGAAUAUGGGGGGACCAUCCUCCAAGGCUAAAUACUCCUGACUGACCGAUAGUGAACCAGUACCGUGAGGGAAAGGCGAAAAGAACCCCGGCGAGGGGAGUGAAAAAGAACCUGAAACCGUGUACGUACAAGCAGUGGGAGCACCUUCGGGUGUGACUGCGUACCUUUUGUAUAAUGGGUCAGCGACUUAUAUUCUGUAGCAAGGUUAACCGUAUAGGGGAGCCGCAGGGAAACCGAGUCUUAACUGGGCGUUAAGUUGCAGGGUAUAGACCCGAAACCCGGUGAUCUAGCCAUGGGCAGGUUGAAGGUUGGGUAACACUAACUGGAGGACCGAACCGACUAAUGUUGAAAAAUUAGCGGAUGACUUGUGGCUGGGGGUGAAAGGCCAAUCAAACCGGGAGAUAGCUGGUUCUCCCCGAAAGCUAUUUAGGUAGCGCCUCGUGAAUUCAUCUUCGGGGGUAGAGCACUGUUUCGGCUAGGGGGUCAUCCCGACUUACCAACCCGAUGCAAACUGCGAAUACCGAAGAAUGUUAUCACGGGAGACACACGGCGGGUGCUAACGUCCGUCGUGAAGAGGGAAACAACCCAGACCGCCAGCUAAGGUCCCAAAGUCAUGGUUAAGUGGGAAACGAUGUGGGAAGGCACAGACAGCCAGGAUGUUGGCUUAGAAGCAGCCAUCAUUUAAAGAAAGCGUAAUAGCUCACUGGUCGAGUCGGCCUGCGCGGAAGAUGUAACGGGGCUAAACCAUGCACCGAAGCUGCGGCAGCGACACUAUGUGUUGUUGGGUAGGGGAGCGUUCUGUAAGCCUGCGAAGGUGUGCUGUGAGGCAUGCUGGAGGUAUCAGAAGUGCGAAUGCUGACAUAAGUAACGAUAAAGCGGGUGAAAAGCCCGCUCGCCGGAAGACCAAGGGUUCCUGUCCAACGUUAAUCGGGGCAGGGUGAGUCGACCCCUAAGGCGAGGCCGAAAGGCGUAGUCGAUGGGAAACAGGUUAAUAUUCCUGUACUUGGUGUUACUGCGAAGGGGGGACGGAGAAGGCUAUGUUAGCCGGGCGACGGUUGUCCCGGUUUAAGCAUGUAGGCUGGUUGUCCAGGCAAAUCCGGAUAAUCAAGGCUGAGGUGUGAUGACGAGGCACUACGGUGCUGAAGUAACAAAUGCCCUGCUUCCAGGAAAAGCCUCUAAGCAUCAGGUAACAUUAAAUCGUACCCCAAACCGACACAGGUGGUCAGGUAGAGAAUACCAAGGCGCUUGAGAGAACUCGGGUGAAGGAACUAGGCAAAAUGGUGCCGUAACUUCGGGAGAAGGCACGCUGGUGUGUAGGUGAAGUCCCUGCGGAUGGAGCUGAGACCAGUCGAAGAUACCAGCUGGCUGCAACUGUUUAUUAAAAACACAGCACUGUGCAAACACGAAAGUGGACGUAUACGGUGUGACGCCUGCCCGGUGCCGGAAGGUUAAUUGAUGGGGUUAUCCGUAAGGAGAAGCUCUUGAUCGAAGCCCCGGUAAACGGCGGCCGUAACUAUAACGGUCCUAAGGUAGCGAAAUUCCUUGUCGGGUAAGUUCCGACCUGCACGAAUGGCGUAAUGAUGGCCAGGCUGUCUCCACCCGAGACUCAGUGAAAUUGAACUCGCUGUGAAGAUGCAGUGUACCCGCGGCAAGACGGAAAGACCCCGUGAACCUUUACUAUAGCUUGACACUGAACAUUGAGCCUUGAUGUGUAGGAUAGGUGGGAGGCUUUGAAGCGUGGACGCCAGUCUGCGUGGAGCCAACCUUGAAAUACCACCCUUUAAUGUUUGAUGUUCUAACGUUGGCCCCUUACCGGGGUUGCGGACAGUGUCUGGUGGGUAGUUUGACUGGGGCGGUCUCCUCCCAAAGCGUAACGGAGGAGCACGAAGGUUAGCUAAUCCUGGUCGGACAUCAGGAGGUUAGUGCAAUGGCAUAAGCUAGCUUGACUGCGAGCGUGACGGCGCGAGCAGGUGCGAAAGCAGGUCAUAGUGAUCCGGUGGUUCUGAAUGGAAGGGCCAUCGCUCAACGGAUAAAAGGUACUCCGGGGAUAACAGGCUGAUACCGCCCAAGAGUUCAUAUCGACGGCGGUGUUUGGCACCUCGAUGUCGGCUCAUCACAUCCUGGGGCUGAAGUAGGUCCCAAGGGUAUGGCUGUUCGCCAUUUAAAGUGGUACGCGAGCUGGGUUUAGAACGUCGUGAGACAGUUCGGUCCCUAUCUGCCGUGGGCGCUGGAGAAUUGAGGGGGGCUGCUCCUAGUACGAGAGGACCGGAGUGGACGCAUCACUGGUGUUCGGGUUGUCAUGCCAAUGGCACUGCCCGGUAGCUAAAUGCGGAAGAGAUAAGUGCUGAAAGCAUCUAAGCACGAAACUUGCCCCGAGAUGAGUUCUCCCUGAGACUUUAAGUCUCCUGAAGGAACGUUAAAGACGAUGACGUUGAUAGGCCGGGUGUGUAAGCGCAGCGAUGCGUUGAGCUAACCGGUACUAAUGAACCGUGAGGCUUAACCUU